rnacentral:rRNA from 1 species
GACGUAGGGGGCUAGCGUUGCUCGGAAUCACUGGGCGUAAAGCGCACGUAGGCGGAUCGCUAAGUCAGGGGUGAAAUCCUGGAGCUCAACUCCAGAACUGCCUUUGAUACUGGCAAUCUCGAGUCCGGGAGAGGUGAGUGGAACUGCGAGUGUAGAGGUGAAAUUCGUAGAUAUUCGCAAGAACACCAGUGGCGAAGGCGGCUCACUGGCCCGGUACUGACGCUGAGGUGCGAAAGCGUGGGGAGCAAACAGG